rnacentral:misc_RNA from 1 species
CUGUCAAGCUCUUAUAUGGUGCAUUAGCAUAUGGUACAUAGUCACGACUCUUGGGCCAAGGGAAUGGAGUAACGUAACCCUUGGGUGCUGGAAUUAGGCAAUGCAGCUUCCCUUCCUCUGAAGGACAAUGCCUCUCUCGAUAAAUCAUGUUUUCCCUAGGGAAAGUCAUAGCACGUUUCUGAUCUUGGCAAGGCGUGUAGUCAGUGUAACGGGGAUGACAAGGCUUGAACACUUUGGGUUUGGAUUCAGAAUCAUUGAUAGUCCCAAUUUCACCACCAUGAUGGGUCUCAAAAUUUAGACUUGGGAUUAAAUUGCAGUCUCCAGCGUAUUUUUAGUGAUCUCCAUAGCAAGAUUGUCUGCCUUCCCAAAUCCACUCCUCUGCCAUGCGCCCAAUAUAUAGAAGAAACAGCAUAGGCCAACUACAAUAAAAAUUUGUAUAGAACUCCUAGUUCUACCAUCAGCUGAAUUAGUUUUCAAUGCCAUUAUAGCCCAAUCGCAUGAAGCAGUCCCGCUAAAAGAUCCAACACUCCAAUCAGACAAAAAGUAUAGAGCAGAGCAAAAGGAAGUCUUCCACUUGAGUAGCUUCGCUGCUUUUCUGCAAAGAAAAUAAUGAUGAAGCCGCAGAAUUGUGAAGGAUACUUCCUAGCAGAGAUCUCCAAGAUCCAAUCCCAACCAGUUCUCUCAAUAAAUCUGUCAAAACCUUGGCUCCGGCCUCCGAUCGCCGAUUUAAAAAUAAUUAAUUAAUUAAAUAAAACAAAAAAGAGUCCGCAGGUGAGUCUGUUG